rnacentral:tRNA from 1 species
GCCUUUGUGGUGUAACGGUUAAUACACUCGGCGCAUAUCCAAGAGAUCCAGGUUCGAGUCCCGGAAACGGCA